AAUUUUGGACAAUGGGGGCAACCCUGAUCCAGCCAUGCCGCGUGAGUGAAGAAGGCCUUCGGGUUGUAAAGCUCUUUCGGCCGGAACGAAAUCGCGUACGUGAAUAACGUGCGUGGAUGACGGUACUGGAAGAAGAAGCACCGGCUAACUACGUGCCAGCAGCCGCGGUAAUACGUAGGGUGCGAGCGUUAAUCGGAAUUACUGGGCGUAAAGCGUGCGCAGGCGGUUCUGCAAGUCAGAUGUGAAAUCCCCGGGCUUAACCUGGGAACUGCGUUUGAAACUACGGAGCUAGAGUACGGCAGAGGGGGGUGGAAUUCCACGUGUAGCAGUGAAAUGCGUAGAUAUGUGGAGGAACACCGAUGGCGAAGGCAGCCCCCUGGGCCGAUACUGACGCUCAGGCACGAAAGCGUGGGGAGCAA
rnacentral:rRNA from 1 species